rnacentral:rRNA from 1 species
UACGUAGGGAGCAAGCGUUGUCCGGAAUCAUUGGGCGUAAAGCGCGCGUAGGUGGCUUCAUAAGUCCGUUGUGAAAGUCAAAGGCUCAUCCUUUGAAAGCCGAUGGAUACUGUGGAGCUAGAGUACGGAAGAGGCGAGUGGAAUUCCUGGUGUAGCGGUGAAAUGCGCAGAUAUCAGGAAGAACACCCGUGGCGAAGGCGGCUCUCUGGGACGGUACUGACGCUGAGACGCGAAAGCGUGGGGAGCGAACAGG